rnacentral:piRNA from 1 species
UCUUCAAGAAGAAGUGUCUGUGCUGGGUC